rnacentral:rRNA from 1 species
CUCAGAACUCAAAGGAAUUGACGGGGCCCGCACAAGCGGUGGAGCAUGUGGUUUAAUUCGAUGAUACGCGAGGAACCUUACCUGGGCUCAAAUGUAUGUUUGACGUAUUCUGAAAGGGAUACUUCUUCGGACAAUAUACAAGGUGCUGCAUGGUUGUCGUCAGCUCGUGCCGUGAGGUGUCGGGUUAAGUCCCAUAACGAGCGCAACCCCUAUCAUUAGUUGCCAUCAGGUCAAGCUGGGGACUCUAAUGAAACUGCCUACGCAAGUAGUGAGGAAGGUGGGGAUGACGUCAAAUCAGCACGGCCCUUACGUCCAGGGCUACACACGUGCUACAAUGGCCGGUACAAAGGGCAGCUACCUGGUGACAGGAUGCAAAUCUCCAAAGUCGGUCUCAGUUCGGAUCGGAGUCUGCAACCCGACUCCGUGAAGUUGGAUUCGCUAGUAAUCGCGCAUCAGCCAUGGCGCGGUGAAUACGUUCCCGGGCCUU